AGAGUUUGAUCCUGGCUCAGAGUGAACGCUGGCGGCGUGCCUAACACAUGCAAGUCGAACGAUGAUGGAGAGCUUGCUCUCCUGAUUAGUGGCGCACGGGUGAGUAUACCAAAGAUAAUGUACCCCUUAGUUCGGGAUAGCCACUGGAAACGGUGAUUAAUACCGGAUACUCCUUCUCAUUAUAAGAUGAGUCGGGAAAGUUUUUUCGCUAAGGGAUCAGUCUAUGUCCUAUCAGCUAGUUGGUGAGGUAAUGGCUCACCAAGGCUAUGACGGGUAUCUGGUUUGAGAGGAUGAUCAGACACACUGGAACUGAGACACGGUCCAGACUCCUACGGGAGGCAGCAGUGAGGAAUAUUGCACAAUGGAGGAAACUCUGAUGCAGCAACGCCGCGUGGAGGAUGACGCAUUUCGGUGUGUAAACUCCUUUUAAGAGGGAAGAUUAUGACGGUACCUCUUGAAUAAGCACCGGCUAACUCCGUGCCAGCCGCCGCGGU
rnacentral:rRNA from 1 species